UCAUGAGUCAAUCGCCCAAGUCAAUAAGAUCAGGGACUGCUGGUGAAGGAGCGUCUGCAUGCAUGGCCUGAGCUGAGAUAGGAAUAGGAAACAUAUCAAACUGAGGAUGCCCAAAUGUCCCAGAAUCAACAAUGUCCUGUAUGGCAUGUCGUAGAGCAGUGCAACGAUCAGUGUGAUGUCCUGCUGACUGGUGGUACGCAC
rnacentral:lncRNA from 1 species